UACGUAGGGUCCAAGCGUUAAUCGGAAUUACUGGGCGUAAAGCGUGCGCAGGCGGUUCCAUAAGACAGAUGUGAAAUCCCCGGGCUUAACCUGGGAAUGGCAUUUGUGACUGUGGGGCUAGAGUGUGGCAGAGGGGGGUGGAAUUCCACGUGUAGCAGUGAAAUGCGUAGAGAUGUGGAGGAACACCGAUGGCGAAGGCAGCCCCCUGGGCUAACACUGACGCUCAUGCACGAAAGCGUGGGGAGCAAACAGG
rnacentral:rRNA from 1 species